AACUCUGGAGAGCAGCGGGCCACAUGACAGGGCCCGCUCACCGAAGGAGCAAGCAUCCGGUGUCGGAGUGACCGGAUGUGAAAUCUCUCAGGUCUCGUACAGAGGGGG
rnacentral:ncRNA from 1 species